rnacentral:rRNA from 1 species
UGGGGAAUAUUGGACAAUGGGGGAAACCCUGACCCAGCAACGCCGCGUGAAGGAUGAAGUAUUUCGGUAUGUAAACUUCGAAAGAAUAGGAAGAAUAAAUGACGGUACUAUUUAUAAGGUCCGGCUAACUACGUGCCAGCAGCCGCGGUAAUACGUAGGGACCAAGCGUUGUUCGGAUUUACUGGGCGUAAAGGGCGCGUAGGCGGCAUGACAAGUCACUUGUGAAAUCUCUGGGCUUAACCCAGAACGGCCAAGUGAUACUGUCGCGCUAGAGUGCAGAAGGGGCAAUCGGAAUUCUUGGUGUAGCGGUGAAAUGCGUAGAUAUCAAGAGGAACACCUGAGGUGAAGACGGGUUGCUGGGCUGACACUGACGCUGAGGCGCGAAAGCCAGGGGAGCAAACGGGAUUAGAUACCCGAGUAGUCCCUGAGCGGGCUGGCAAGGCGCAU